AAUGAACGUUUAGAACGAACGAUUCAUUACAAAUUCUGUUUUUUACGGUUAUUUGGAUUUAUGUUUAAAGUAUUUAUGUAGAAUGAGCUUCACUCAAUUGUUGUAAUUCGUUUUACAAACAAUGCAACUAUGUGAGAUUGUAGAUUCUUUAUUUACUUGAUCCUGCUCCUAUGUAUUUUUCUUAAUAUUUCAAAUGUCUUUUGAAAUUGGCAAUCCAGUAUUUUCAGCUUAAUUUCUGUAACAUAAUAUCAAAAGAUUAUUAAUAUUUUAUAAUUAUGAUGAAAGUCUUUUAUUUCAAUUAGAAAUAUAAAUGAUCGGUAGUGCCUGGAUUUACAUGUUUUUUUUUUUUUUUUUUUUUUUUUUUUUGACAGUCCAAUUAUAGUUUCUAGAUAAGCUACAAGUUUUAAUUAUAGUAAAUUAGACUGUAAUAUAAAGUUUAUUUUUGUAUAUUUUACUUUUUUUUGACGUCUACUGCAUAUUUCUGUAUUUAGCGAUUUUUCGUACAAUUACUGCAGACCCUGGCAACUUAUUAUCAGCCCCUUGAGUACGUUUUUCAACUUAAUAAAAUAAUCAAAUAGUAUCGUGUGUGUGUUAGAUUCGAUUAGUCACUUCUCCAGUUGUUCACUUACCCAUUACACUUGACCUUAGACAACCAGGUUAAGUCCUGAUAACCUAGAUCAACUCUAUUAGUAAUUAGUAAUAAUGUAAUUAAUUAAUAUAUAAUAUUUACAUUUUGUAAUGUAUAAAAAUUAUUUUAUUUAACCUUUUUCUCCCUAUAAUACAUACUAUCUCCAACAUUAUUUCUGUUAAUGCAUAUUUACAGACUUAAAUAAAUUAAAUAUAAGUUUGCCGAUAUUGUUUUAUUCUAAAAUGUAAAGCAUAUUUCUGUAAUUUUGUUAGUUUUAAAUAUAUACAAAUUAUGUUUUUAAAUUGCACAAAUAAAUAGUAUAAACUCAAGUAAUUCAAAAUAUUGGCUCAAGAAGUUUUGUUUUAAUAAUUAUAAACUCUAUUGUAACAGAACAUUAUAGAAUAAAUUAUAUAAUUUUAAUAAAAUAAUACAAUAUUGCACUAUGCUUUUAAAGCGGAAGUUGUGCUGGGAAAGAGAGUUCUUCUUAUCAAUUAAUAAUGCAUAAAUAUAUUUAAAAACUGAUCAUUUGUGCCCGGAUUAAUCUUGUCUAAAAACCUUAGAGAUAUGCAUUUGUGAUGAUUUUUUGUAAAAAUAUACCCCUUAAAAAAAAAAACUUAUGCACAAAUAAAAAUUGAUUUUGAAGUAGAUACAAAAGAUUGAUUUGUAUUGAAUUUAUGCCUUUUCUCAAAGUGAAGAGCUUUACAUAAAUUCUUUUCAAUAGAACGGCGUAUAACAAAAUUGUAUUAAAAAAAAAUUCUGUAUUUUCAUUUUAUUUAUAUUAUGAUAAAACUAAUAUAAAUAUAACCAAAAUAUUAUAUAAUGUGCAUUCAAAAUCUAUUUGUAUGCAAUGAAAAAUCGUAAAAUAUGCAAAAUAAAACUUUAUAUUUCAGUUCUAUUGACUAUAAUUUAAACUUGUAGCUUAUCUUUUGUUGCUUUUUGGACUGUCAAAGAAAACAAAAACACAAAUGCAUAUCAUUCCAGGUUCUAAUGAUGAUAAAAAAAAGGUAAUAAAAAUAUAUUUAUUGCCAUAGUGGCCUUUUUCGGAUUUUGGUUUUCUAUAGGUGGCAAUAGUGGCAUAUUGCGUUCUUAUUGGUCGUGUGAUAUAAUCCCUUGGUUUCAAUUCGGCUUUUUUUCGGUAACUGUUGUUUCCAUUGUUGUAAUACGUCUGAUGCACACGAUCGGGUAUGUCAAUUUGUUCGUGUACUAUACGAACAAAUUGACAUACCCGAUUAGUGUUGGUUCAUUUACAUAAUUAUUUCUAGUUUUAGAAAUUGAUCACAUACUUUGUACCUAAUCGCCAACCGAACAAUUAUCACUGAAAUGUCUUCAAAGAGUACAGGCGGAUCGUCUUGUAACGACGAGUCACGUGUGUUAGUUGUACUUCCCGGACUUACAAAAAAUCAAAUCAAAUCAAAUCUUAGAAAAACAAGUGAGUACGCCAUUAUAAAUAACUAAUAAACGCUACCUAGGUAAAUAAUUAGCAAUAAGUGCAUUUAAUACAAAUUAAUAUUUACAAGAUAAAUAUAGAGACAGGGUAUCCCACGGCAAUAUGUACCCGUUGUAAUAUCUCCGGAGAUAAUAAACAUUAUAAAAGUCUGGUAUUUUUAUAUUUCUCACUGGGAUACAAAUAUUUGUAUUGCAAUUAAUUUCGUAAGUUAUGAAUAAAAAUUAAAAGAAAAAAAAAACAAUGUUUUAUUAUUAUUGGAUAAUUUGAACAUAGUAAUUUCAUAGAAUUUAUUCUUCUGAAAAUGUUGGAAAUUUGUUUUAAAUAAAUUCGUGAUAUAUUAUAAUUUUUUGAGUUCAGAGAAAAGAAAUGUACGAUAAGUCGAUAAAGCGUAAAUAAUAAUAGUAAUCAAUUGGAGAAUACGAUAACCGUCUGUUGUAUGAUUAUAGGUACGUUUUUUUUUUAACUUUAAAAAAUCAUAGAAAAUCACCAAUUUAACAAAAAUAAAAAGUUCAUUCAUCGAAAUUGUCAAAAAAAAUAUUAAUGUAAAAUGCCCUUCUCCAAAUUUUCAAAAAAAAUAAAAUGGAAAGUUAUUUUUUCUCAAGUGUUUUAUCAAAGAAAACAAAAUUAAAUGCAAUACAAAUAUUUGUAGUCUUUAUCCUUGUAAGUAAUAUAAAAAACAGAAUGUGAUUAUCUUUAUUAAAUCCGGAGAUUUCCAUCAAUGGGUAUUUCUUCACAGGAUAUCCUGUACUAUAUGCAAUAUAUUUAAUAGAUAAACAAUAAUUAAUAAUAUAUAAUAGACCUUGUUUUUCUAGACAUUAUGAUAUGCAUAACACUAAUAUCAGAUUUACCUUAUAAAAUUUGGGCUGGAAGAGUAAUGGAGAGUUAUAUUUAUGCAAUUUAAUACCCUUCCUUACUCCUCCAGUCUAAACUUUAAAGGGUAAAUCUGAUAUUAAUGUUGUGCAUAUCGAAAUGUCUAGGAAAAUUGUCCACUUAAAUAUGUGUUCGGAAAAAGGGGUUCUUAUUUGUAAAAUAAAAGUAUACGCUUAUUUAGGGUAUGUAGAAAAGGGGUAAAAAUUAGUUUUAAAUUAGAGCUAACCCGAUUUCAUAAUGAUAAAAACAAUAAAAAAAUAGAGGAUUGAAAAUUGUUAGUUCGUGAUGAAAAAAUCAUUCCGUAUAUUAGCUUUUAUAUUUUAUAAUGAACCGAUAUCCAUCACUUUUAUUUAUUUUCCAAUUAUAGUCAGGCAUUGAAUGUCAAAAAUACUAAAUAAUUAAUAUCAAGGGUCCACUCAUCAAUCUACUGCAGUCCCUGGCAGCUUAUUAUCAGCCCCUUGAGUACUUUUUUCAACUUAAUAAAAUAAUCAAAUAGUAUCGUGUGUGUGUUAGAUUCGACUAGUCACUUCUUCUCCAAUUAGUCACUUACCCAUUACACUUGACCUUAGACAACCAGGUUGGGUCCCGAUAACCUAGACCAACUCUAUUAGAAAUUAGUAAUAAUGCAAUUAAUUUUUAUAUAAUAUUUACAUUCUGUAUUAUGCAACACAUACUUUAUUUAACCUUUUUUUCUCUUUUCUCACUAUUAUUCAUACUAUGUCUAACAUUAUUUCUGUUUAUGGAUAUUUGCAGGCUUAAAUAAAUUGAAUCAAUUUUAGUAGCAAUAUUGCCGUGUUUGAUUGAACACCGAAAAACAUAAGUCUGCCAAUAUUGUGUUAUUCUAAAAUUUAGAAUACUUUAUAGAUAUAAAUAUGUAGUUUCAAAAUAUGCACAACUAACUUACAAAAUAUACGACACUUGCAGUAUUUGGGCGAGUUUAUUAUUUUAAUAGGGAUUGAAAUACAAUGCGAAAUUAAAUAUUUUUCUUUUGUGAUCUAUAACAAUGCUUUACUUGUUCAUAAUUUAAUUCGUAAAACUUUUUAGUGCAUUUUCCAUUAUUGUUAUUUGUCAUAUCCGUCCAGGCCCUACUGAUCUUUUUUAUUCAUAAUUAAAAUAGCAGACUUCCAUCAUAACUUUUAUAUAUUAAUAAUCUUUUGAUAUUAUGUUACAGAAAUUAAGCUGAAAAUACUGGAUUGCCAAUUUCAAAAGACAUUUGAAAUAUUAAGAAAAAUACAUAGGAGCAGGAUCAAGUAAAUAAAGAAUCUACAAUCUCACACAGUUGCAUUGUUUGUAAAACGAAUUACAACAAUUGAGUGAAGAUCAUUCUACAUAAAUAUUUCAAACACAAAUCCAAAUAACCGUAAAGAAACGGUAUUUUUAAUGAAUCUUCCUUUCUAAGCAUUCAUUUAAACCAACAUCUACUCAAGCCAUGUAGAUUAUCAGAGCACCAUAAAACCAGUAGCCAAUCAAUCGGCACUUAGAAAUAAUUAAUCCAAUGGAAGUCCUACGAAAUGUAAAUCGUUAAAAUGCACAAGUUGUAUAUAUGAAACUAAAUCCGAAGAAAAAUUUUUAUGUCACCUUACUGUUUGUAUUAAUUUAAUUGAUAGUAUUACUGACAAUCAUCCUAAUGAAUGCAAUAUAUGUUUAAAAAAAAUUUUAUAUAGAAGUUAAUUAAAGAAAUAAACGAGAUAUCAUAGGUUCAAGUCAAUCAUAGAAAUAUUGUUAAAAAUACACCUCCAAAUCAAACAAACCUAUUAACCACGCAAUCGGUGAAGAUUAAAAUCAUUUAGAAACAAAUUAGCAAAUACUAAGAAUACUGCACAAAAUUGAUUGAUAAAGUUGAAACGAGUAUAUUGCAAAACCUCUUGCAAAUCCGAAAGAGCACAAAUAAGACAUCAAAUCGGAGAAGAGCAGAAAAGAAUUCUUUAAAAUUGCCAGCUACUAAAUGCCAAUGGUGUGGUACGUUAUAUUCAAAACGUAAUUUGUUAGUCAUAUAAAUCCAAGGAUCUUCAAGUAAAGCCGUUUAAAUGUGCACAUUGUUCAAUGGAUUUCAAAUAUUUAUCCUCACAGAAAGAACAUAUUUUGGAAUGUCAUACUACAAAUGAAAAAUAAUGUUUAUACUCAAGAAUGUAAGAUAUUAAUAUUUUAAGUCUAUUUUAUAUAUAUUUUUUUUUUCUCUUAAGUUUUUUAGGUUAUCAAGUUCCGGUUUCUAAUUUUAUUUAAUAAAACUAAAAUAGUUACACAAUAAAUUAUUGGGGUCUGACCACACACGAUUUUCUAAUAUGCAUAUGUAUGUAAUUUGUAAUAUAACUUACAAAUAUUUAAAUUUCAUAGCACAAAGUGUCAAUUUAAACGUUUUUACUUGAGGAUGCUUGGAAUUAUAAGACUUAGCAAAUUACUUUUUGUAUUUAAUGUAUCACACUAUUGACAUUUAGUAGCUAGCAACUUUAAAGAGUUCUUUUGUCUUCUUCUUUAAUUUGGAUUGUGAGAUUUGAUUUGUUUUAUUUUAGCUCGUCCAGAUCUGCAAGAUACUUUGCAAUAUGCACAUUUCAAUUGUAUCAAUCUAAUUUGUGCAGUAUUCUUAGUAUUUGCGAGUUUGGUUCUAAAUGAAUUUAAUAUUCACCGAUUGCGUGGUAAAUUAGUAUGGUUAGGUGGUGUGUUUUUAAAAAUUUUUCUACAAUCGACUUGAACCUAUGAUAUCUCCUAUGUUUCUUUAAUUACCUUGUACAUAAAAAUUUUUUCAAACAAACAUUGCAUUUGUUAGGAUCAUUGUCAGUAAUAUUCUCAAUUAAACCAUUACAAACAGUAAGGUGAUAUAAAAAUAUUUCUUCGUACUUAGUUUCAUAUGUACAAUUUGUACAUUUUAACGAAUUAGAUUUUGUAGGACUUGCAUUUGAAUAAUUAUUUCUAGGUGCCGAUUGAAUGGCUACUGGUUUUAUGGGUCUCUUAUAAUCUACAUGACUUGAGUAGAUGUUGGUUUAAAUGAACGUUUAGAACGAACGAUUCAUUACAAAUUCUGUUUUUUACGGUUAUUUGGAUUUAUGUUUAAAGUAUUUAUGUAGAAUGAGCUUCACUCAAUUGUUGUAAUUCGUUUUACAAACAAUGCAACUAUGUGAGAUUGUAGAUUCUUUAUUUACUUGAUCCUGCUCCUAUGUAUUUUUCUUAAUAUUUCAAAUGUCUUUUGAAAUUGGCAAUCCAGUAUUUUCAGCUUAAUUUCUGUAACAUAAUAUCAAAAGAUUAUUAAUAUUUUAUAAUUAUGAUGAAAGUCUUUUAUUUCAAUUAGAAAUAUAAAUGAUCGGUAGUGCCUGGAUUUACAUGUUUUUUUUUUUUUUUUUUUUUUUUUUUUUUUGACAGUCCAAUUAUAGUUUCUANUUAUUUAACCUUUUUCUCCCUAUAAUACAUACUAUCUCCAACAUUAUUUCUGUUAAUGCAUAUUUACAGACUUAAAUAAAUUAAAUAUAAGUUUGCCGAUAUUGUUUUAUUCUAAAAUGUAAAGCAUAUUUCUGUAAUUUUGUUAGUUUUAAAUAUAUACAAAUUAUGUUUUUAAAUUGCACAAAUAAAUAGUAUAAACUCAAGUAAUUCAAAAUAUUGGCUCAAGAAGUUUUGUUUUAAUAAUUAUAAACUCUAUUGUAACAGAACAUUAUAGAAUAAAUUAUAUAAUUUUAAUAAAAUAAUACAAUAUUGCACUAUGCUUUUAAAGCGGAAGUUGUGCUGGGAAAGAGAGUUCUUCUUAUCAAUUAAUAAUGCAUAAAUAUAUUUAAAAACUGAUCAUUUGUGCCCGGAUUAAUCUUGUCUAAAAACCUUAGAGAUAUGCAUUUGUGAUGAUUUUUUGUAAAAAUAUACCCCUUAAAAAAAAAAACUUAUGCACAAAUAAUAAUUGAUUUUGAAGUAGAUACAAAAGAUUGAUUUGUAUUGAAUUUAUGCCUUUUCUCAAAGUGAAGAGCUUUACAUAAAUUCUUUUCAAUAGAACGGCGUAUAACAAAAUUGUAUUAAAAAAAAAUUCUGUAUUUUCAUUUUAUUUAUAUUAUGAUAAAACUAAUAUAAAUAUAACCAAAAUAUUAUAUAAUGUGCAUUCAAAAUCUAUUUGUAUGCAAUGAAAAAUCGUAAAAUAUGCAAAAUAAAACUUUAUAUUUCAGUUCUAUUGACUAUAAUUUAAACUUGUAGCUUAUCUUUUGUUGCUUUUUGGACUGUCAAAGAAAACAAAAACACAAAUGCAUAUCAUUCCAGGUUCUAAUGAUAAUAAAAAAAAAUCAG
rnacentral:lncRNA from 1 species